UGGGGAAUAUUGCACAAUGGGCGCAAGCCUGAUGCAGCCAUGCCGCGUGUGUGAAGAAGGCCUUCGGGUUGUAAAGCACUUUCAGCGGGGAGGAAGGCGAUAAGGUUAAUAACCUUGUCGAUUGACGUUACCCGCAGAAGAAGCACCGGCUAACUCCGUGCCAGCAGCCGCGGUAAUACGGAGGGUGCAAGCGUUAAUCGGAAUUACUGGGCGUAACGCGCACGCAGGCGGUCUGUCAAGUCGGAUGUGAAAUCCCCGGGCUUAACCUGGGAACUGCAUUCGAAACUGGCAGGCUAGAGUCUUGUAGAGGGGGGUAGAAUUCCAUGUGUAGCGGUGAAAUGCGUAGAGAUGUGGAGGAAUACCGGUGGCGAAGGCGGCCCCCUGGACAAAGACUGACGCUCAGGUGCGAAAGCGUGGGGAGCAAACAGG
rnacentral:rRNA from 1 species